rnacentral:rRNA from 1 species
AUUGAACGCUGGCGGCAGGCUUAACACAUGCAAGUCGAACGGUAACAUAAAGAAGCUUGCUUCUUUGAUGACGAGUGGCGGACGGGUGAGUAAUGCUUGGGAAUCUGGCUUAUGGAGGGGGAUAACUACGGGAAACUGUAGCUAAUACCGCGUAGAAUCGGGAGACGAAAGUGUGGGACCUUCGGGCCACAUGCCAUAGGAUGAGCCCAAGUGGGAUUAGGUAGUUGGUGAGGUAAAGGCUCACCAAGCCGACGAUCUCUAGCUGGUCUGAGAGGAUGACCAGCCACACUGGGACUGAGACACGGCCCAGACUCCUACGGGAGGCAGCAGUGGGGAAUAUUGCGCAAUGGGGGCAACCCUGACGCAGCCAUGCCGCGUGAAUGAAGAAGGCCUUCGGGUUGUAAAGUUCUUUCGAUAGCGAGGAAGGCAUUUAGUUUAAUAGACUAGGUGAUUGAC